GGGACUUCGAAUUGCGUGCAAAGGAAAAAAAGAAUCUCUCUUUCUUUUCCCUUCUUCUUCCUCCUCCAGUCGCACGUCUCCCCUCACUGUGCAGUCGCUGCCGCCUUCUUCUUUUUCGACAAACCUUCCACUUCCAGCCGCGCUCAUCGAUCGCCUUUUCUUCCCCGUCCGCCGCUCGAUUGUAGGUUCUGAUUAUUUCAACUGCGUAGAACUUCGACCGCCUCCAGCCGCUCGACCAUGGGUCUCCAGCCCCGCAAGAUUCCAGUCGUUCCAGUCGCGUCGUGGGCUUCCAGCCGCGCCGAGUUAUUCAAUCGUUUUCUUCCGUCUCCAUUCUCCAUCCGCUAGCCGUCGAUUAAACCCCAAGCGUCGCCCGCCUGUCGUCGGUUCUGGUCGCCGUUGGAUCGCGGCAGUUCCAGCUGAUCUGUCUGUUGAGGAAUUGUGGCAGUGAAGGAGUUUUUUUAGCAGAGUGAGGGUUCGUUUUGGGACAGUUUGUUAUCCUAAGGUAAGGGUAAUGACAGACCGGUGCAUGACAAGAGAGAUCAGUGACCAUUAGGACCUUUCGCACUUAAUAUCAUGUUUUUUUUUUUUGGAGUCUGAUUUAGGAGUUAGGUGUCUUAAACUCUCGUGCAAAAUUUAUUAAUUUUAUUAUUUGACUAUUUAAUAGUUUUCACUUUUAAA